GGAGCCCGCGUCCGUUUGGCGAGCCGUCAUUCCGCGCGUGGCGGAGGCUGAGGGAACAAGAUGGCGGCGUGAGGGGGAGAAGCGCAGGCUGCGGCCCAUUGGGCCUCCCCUGAGGCCCACGUUUGCACCAUAUUGAUUGACAGUCCAAAGAAGAGAACUGGAUUACUGUAAAGUGACGGCCAGAAGUUCAUGGAGAUAAAUUAUUUGUGCAGCUAUGAUACAAAAGGGAAAAUUCUUAUGGUUUCAAUUAAACAAUUAGAAGCUGAAAAACAAUUGUGGUCUUGCAUAACUGUUCUUUCCAGUCCCAACAAACGAAGGCUGAGUGUGAAGCUUUGCCUGUUUGUGAAGGCACUUCUGGCGAAGAAAAAUCCCUCAUCAUCACCAUAAGAGAAAAUGAAGAAUAAUUACUCUCCUUUUGCUCUAGUUCCUUAACAUAAAAUUUGAACUUUUGUAGUAGAGGGGAAAAGAUAAUCUUGCUCUUUAAAAUAGUUGACAUUUUGUAGAAGUGUCAGUGGUGACAACCUGUUUUUCACUGUUUUGGCACGCUACAAAUGUUUAUCCAUCCAGAGAAAGACUAGCAACUGUUCUGGCAGAUAGUUAUCCCUCUUCAGAAUACCAUAGUUAAGGAAAAGCUUACUCCCUACAUUGCAUUACUGAAAACCUAACAAUUAAUGUCCUUUGAGUAAGUGGAUCUUAGUGUAUGAAAGAACCUGGCAGAAUAAUCACGAUAUUAUGUGCAUAUUCUAAAAGAAAGAAUAACCUCUCAAAGAAAAUAAAAACCCUUGGAAAAUUCCUUAGCGGGGAUUGUUCUCCUGAAAGGGAACCGUUUACAGAUCACCGUCUUGAUAUCUCUAUUUAGCAGCUGACGUCCAGCAGCUAAUAGUCAUUUUUUUUAAUCCACUGUGUUGAAGUGCAUCUUCCUUUUGUAAAUCAAAGCAAAUGAACAAAAUAAUCCCCAUGUCUCAAUCUGCCUAAAGGAUAGAAACAGGAAAUGUUGCUAUAAGUUGCUGCUUCUCUAGCAAGUCCUUUCCUAAAGGGGCGAAGCCUUGAGGACUUCAAAGUGACCCCAGGUUCCCUGGCAUUUCCACAGGUUCCUUGGGGAAAUUCAGCAGCCAAAGGAGCAAUAGCUUUCUCCAAGUCAAGCUCUUACCCAAAGGGAACAACAGCAAGUAUAAAGGUAUAUAUACUAUUUUCCAUUGCUUAGGUGAACAAAGAGUAGACAUGCUCAGGAAGGGCUUCUUCACUACUUUCCUAGUGGGUGUAAUCCACAGCUAAGGUGGACAUUGUAAUUUUAACAUGUUUACAGAUGAUUCCUUUUCUCUGUUGUUUGUGAUUUAUACAUGAUCUUUUUUUAAAAAAAAAUCAUUGAGUAGUAGCUAUCUUUCUCCACAUUUUGCCAGGGCGAGUAGCUUCCUGGCAAAGUAAUGUACCCUUUUAUGCUGGAUCCUGGAACCUUUAGUAGUGCACCUUACACAAAUUAUCAAAAUGUGAAUGCCAACUUUUUAUUUUUUUUAAAUCCUCAAUCUGGGUUAAAAUGGGAUGACAUAGAUUGUAAAUAAUGGUCGGUUGUGGUUAACCAAAUUCUGAAUACUUUUUGAUGGUCUGGUUAGAAUUGGCAAAAAGGUUAUUUUAUACGAGGGAAAGCAGUGAUGCUCAUUUGGAGAGCCAGUUCUCUGUUCUGUAAUUUCAAAAUAAUUUUAAGAGGAGCAUGCCAGUCUAAGCACUUGUAUGGGCUCACCACUUCUUAUCUUGAUUCUGUGUGAUAAAUGGAUGCACAGAAAGUUCUUAGUAUAAUUUUAUUCUGCUGUUUUCCUUAAUUGAAAAUCAAGUCAAACAAAAUGAGAACACUCUUAUAAUGGUGAAAAUAUGUAGCUGCAGAAACUAAACAGAAUGUCUGACCAGUUCAUGAGCUUGUUAUUCAGAUUGAUUUUCAAGUAUAUUGGGAUCCCAAGCCAGAUGGAAAUUCCAAAUGUAAAAUAAUUGCAUAUCUUUUUCAAAAUCUUUGAAGGAAUAUCUAUUGAAAAUCAAAAUUUGAAAUGUAGUUCCAAAUUUCUUACUUGAAAUAUAAGCUGUAUUCUUCAAAACUGAUACUAAAAAUGUAGACGAUUUUCACCAGUCGGUGGGAUUUUUAAUGUCUUAGCUACUUGACCCUUAGAAAUAUCAUAUUUGGAUUUCUCACAUUUUCAUAAUAGACAUAAUCAAGAUCAGCCAUGCCACUCACCCGAAUGUCCAGCAAAGAAGUUUGUCCCUCCACCCUUUUCUCCUCAUAAAUCUCCUUCUAGCUAUGUAUUCACUUAAACUCAGUACGACUACAUUAGGAGGAGAUUUAAAGUUAUCCUGGAGAGAAAAGUCUGCUAAAUAUGGCCAGGACAUCCUGUUGCAGUACUUAUCCUGUAGCAUACCCUUAACAGUACUGUGAAAAAGGCAAUGCUGCCUUAAUCUUUGGUUUUACAUGUUGAAUUACAUCUUUUUCUCCUCAUUGGCAGGAAAUCUUUCCAUAUGAAAGAUCAAACAAAUACGGGGCACGUGCAAUAGUAUAAUAUAUACAUAUAAAUAUAUUUUAAUACUUGUGGACAAAACGUUACAAGUUGUUUGAGAACAACAAAAUCACCAAUGUCUUCCAUUUUGAGAUGUGUAUAGUUCCAUAAGCAUUAGUGCUUUGUAGCAAAACUGUAGUGCCAUUUUAGGAUCGGUGCAUGAGCCUAGUAGUAUCUUUUUUAUUUUAAAUAACAAUUUCAGAGUGACAAAUUAAUCGUGCUGAUGGUGUAACUCAUAAACUGGUACAGUUAUGGUCUAAAGAUGCAGUGUCGUUUCUAGGCAAAUGGUAGCAGAAAGGCAGCAGUGUGAAUUAAGGGGUGUUUACCGAUAACAGCCUCCAUGCCGCCAGUUACAUUUAGAUACACUGAAAAAAACUGCAAUUAAAACCAAGACACAAUGUUGAACAAAACCCUUGCUCUCUGAGCAAAUAAUUUGUUAUGGGGAAAAUAACUGAUUACGUGUACUUUUUCAGUUUCAAGGGAUGACCAGUUGACAUAUGGCUAAUGUCUCCCUCAGCAAUUCUUACUUAAUAUGUGACUAUGUUUCUCAUUGAGAAGGCCCAACAUACUUUGAAUUAUUUAGCAUAUGUACCCUUAAGUAUUAUUGUAUUGACACAUCAGUGUAGCUCUUAUUCAGAAUGGUUUUACCAUUAUUGCUAUUCAAGAUAUGUUGUUAAAAACCAGUGAUCUUAAAUUUUGAUCACAUAGAUAUGUAGGAAAAACAGUUGUAGGUGUUUCCUUACCAUUUUAAAUUUUAGAUCACAUUUUUUCUUGCAGUCCAAGUACCAUUUGUAUUGUAGUUACUGAUUUUUUUUAAAAGAGUACGACUCCAAGAAGUCAUUGUUUUCUUUUAAGUUCAUACAAUUCAGAUUGCUCACUAUUAAUCGUACAUGUUCUUUGCAGAUUUGCAAUUCUGUUUCAUGUGUCUGUAAAGUACCGUAUAUGUAACAGAAGCACUACUUUUAGCUUAAGGAGGAUACUGCAUUUUAUUUCUUGGUCUUUUCUAUAAAUGGCUGCCUUGGUGAGGGAAGGGAUGUUUCUGCAUUUGAGUUGAUUAUUGGCUGAAAUUCAAAGCAAAGAUACAGAUUUUCUGCAGAAGAUGAGAUCUUGUGAAAUUAGUAGCCGUUUAAAAGACUGUACCCAUUCUCUCUUGUAAACUGAGAAGGUGGGCUGUUUAUAGAAGAGCCGUAAGGACCAGAGCUCAGUCCACGUUCUUGUGUGAACUAAUGUAUCUGUACCGUUAAGAGAAGUAGAUUUUAGCGCUUGGGAGAAUCAAUUGAUGGAAAAAUACCUCUGAAACUGGAAUGCAAAAUAGCACAGUAUGUAGGGGGAAGAAUCCCCAAUGCAAAUAAAGCCAUAAGAUGACUUAAUAAAUAGAACUUUAGUAGCAAUAACUGUUUGCAUGUAAUAGGAACUAACUUGCAGUAGCAAGAAUUGUACAGUAGAAUAAAUGGUAUUAACCAAAUAGGUUUGUGGUGCUCUGUGUCACAGGGAGUUGCUUGACAAGAUGAGACUCAAUUAAAAAAGUAGAAUAUCCUCUCCUUAAAGGAACAUGGCAUGAAUGCCUCAGAGCUGGUUCAGGUGUAAGCUAGAAUGUUUGUCCAUUUUUUUUGCAACUGGAAAGACGUUUGCUAUGUGUGAAGAAAUGGAUGAAGUCUUAUGCUGCUUGUCUCUAGAAAGAAUAUGUUUGAUAUGCACCUCUAUGGUGAAAGGGAGGCCUUUUGGAAGCAGAUGUAGAAUGUCUUUCACAUUACAUAAUUACAACACAUUGAUACCACUUUAAUUGCCAUGGCUGUAUCCUAUGGUAUUCUGGAGUAUGUCAUUUUGUGAAGUAUCUAGACCUCCCUGCCAGAGAACUCUAGCAUUUCUCUAAGCAACAAAUCUCAGGUUUCUGUAGGAUACACCUAUGGCAUUAAAAGUGGUAUAAAAGAUCUGUGUGUUGUAGACAAUAUCUAAGUCUGUCUAUCCAUUGGUGUAAGGUAUAAUGUUUAAUUGUGGGAUCUUGUCAUUUCAUAAAACUGCUUAGCUGUGUCAAAUUUUCAUAGGAAUUUUAGCAAAGUACAGAUCAUUCAGAUACCUCUACCAAGAGCUGUUGAUGUCUCUUAGAGAUGUACUUCACCUUUUUAACAUGGAGAUCCCAUGUUGUUAUUUCAUUUUUUCUUAGUUUAACACAGAUACUUUUGUAAUUGAAAAGGAAAGGACAUGAUUCAGUUGAGUAGGCUUAGCAAUCUCUUACUCCCAUCACUCUAGAGAGUGUAGUAAUACCUCCUUAACAUACAGUUUGCACUAAUCUUGUAUGCGCGCGCAUACUGAAGACCAAGGAAACUGUAAGUCUAAUAUGUAACUCUGCCUUAAGCAGUAUUUAGCUGAAGAAUAUAACCAGAUUCACCUGCAACAUUGGGGUGUGUGCUUGACGAAAGGGAUGUUACCUUUAUUUCUAUUCUUAACAUUGAUUUAUCCAUUACCCACCAACAAUUUGAUUAACACCACUUGUGUUUAAGAAGUAAGCUCCUGUUUUCAAACCAGAACGCACAUGCAGUCUCUAUGAAAACAUGCAAUUUUUUCUAAGUUAGCAAUAGUUUCCAAAAUAAUGUUUGCAAACGGAAUUUAGAAAAGACACAUGCAAAGAUAGUUAACAAAUAGUUGAUCACCAGUUUUACUUGCACAGAAUAUAUAGCAUUCUUUUCCAGAACUAGGAAGUUAUUUUAAGCAAACAUAGAGUGUUAAAAGUGUCACAUACUUAUAUCAGUAGAACUUGCUUUGUUCCUAAUCUUGUAGGCAUAUGCUUUGCAAAUAUAUUUCAUAGUGAACCUGGUGCUAGACAUCACAGUGCUGUUGCUCAGUUCCAUAUGAAAUAAAACUUCAGCUUAUGUGUUUUGAUUAUGACCUUAAGGAUAUGGGCUUCAUGACUACCAUAUACAUUGGGAUUGGCUUGACAGCUAUUUAGAAAGUUACAGUCUGGUUGGUGACUUGUAGACACACUCGCACAGUUUCACAAUGGAAAAAAUAUAAUCUUGAUCAAUGGAAGUAAGGGCUGUAGGAAGCAUGUACUUAAGGAGUUGUGUCUAAACUCAGUAAUCUAGCAUUGAAGUUUGUAUCCAUAAUCACAUAACAGGUGAAGAGAGUUUUUCAGCUAUUCACGGACACUAGCAGCCCAUGGUAUACACAUUUCCUUUUCUUCUUUGCACUGAAGUGAUUCUCUUUUUAGCUCUUACUUAGCUUGAGAUCAAGGUUUAUUAAAAGCAUAUUGAUGCUAUUUUUGAUGACUAGGAGGUCAAUGUUUUUUUCGUGACAUGUGCAAGCAUGCCGACCCUCACCUGCAUUUCUGUAUUUUGUUGUCAUUGCAGACUGGUAUUCUUUUCUAUCCUCUGCAAUGGCCAAAAUGACUCAGUUUUACUAUACUAACCUCCCUUACAAGGUUAGUGGAAAGCAUGGGGCUCCAGAGAUGUGUCUGGAUAUGUCUCUUAGCCAGGCUCAGGAUAAUGACACAAUCCAUUAAGGGUCCCAACCUUUUCUCUGUUGCUGUGAUGACCUUCUUGCUCUCCACCAGCCUCUGGCUGUUCCAGGGGUCUUCCAAAGUCAUGGAUGUAGCGAGUUGGGAAUAAUGGCAGAACUCUUAGCCUGCACUGGGCAAUGCGGUGUCUUGGCCGGAACUUGCUUUUUGUAGUACUUUUGUCUCUCAGCCCUUGUGGUGAUGUGAUGAGUCUAACUUAUAACUUCCCCAGUUUAGUGGAGAAACUCCCUUUCGUACUUCUUCCUUUCAGACUCAUUUCCUUCCUUUCUCUUUGCUCUGCAAUGAGCAGGAGUCCAAGCACAAUACAAAAAAAAAUACAAAGGUGCCAAUCAGUAUGUCUGAAAUAUAGGCUUCCAGUUUACACAUGGCAGGCUUGUAAAUGGUAGUUCUGGGGGACUUGCAACUUCAAGAGGCUAAGCUGAGCUGAAUUUGCUUAUCAUGACAUGAGUAAUUUGUAUAGGAUGGAUGGGAGGCAUCUUUACCAUAUUUUGAUGCAUAGAGAGGCAGUGAGAUCUCUGAAACACAAGCGUGUCCAGCAGUGUGAGGGCCUUUGUGUCAUUGAAGAAAGACUUUGGCAAAAAGAGCCAAUUAGGUUCUGCUUUGUAGGGUGAGACGAUAAGGGCCCUUUUGUGCUAUGCAGUUAUAGCACUAUGAUUCCGGCUACAUCUAUAAAGGGAUACUGGGAUAUAUAAUUUGCUGAAAUAUUCAGGGUCUCUGGCCCUAAACUGCAAAUCCCAGAUUUCAUUAGGAUGGAGUCAGGGCAGUUCGGAUGACAUUGUAAUCCUGUAAUUGGGUCUCAUUGUAGCUGGAAUUUGGGAAGUAAAGGAAUGAAAAACGAGAACAUAAUUACAUCUGGUGGGAUAUGACUGAAAGGUUUCUAUACAUCAAAAGAAGAUAGAAAUUGACUCUUAAGGGAAGGAGGUAGGAGAGAUAGGUAGAAUGGUAACAGAACUGGUUUUGAUUGUUCGUUUUAGGUAGAUUUCUUAAUGUUUCUAAGUCAUAGCACAAUAAACAUAUCCACAAAGCUUAGCAUUUCUUAAGGACAGGAUGUUGCUGCAAUUUACUCACUUGUUCCUCUGUGUAAGCACUUGAAAGCUUGCAUGGGGCAAUGACAGUGACACAAGCACACAGGCGCGCAAACCGUCUUUUAUAGAGCUAGUAUUCUAAUUAUGCAUGAUUGAGAUGUCUGGUGUUAUAGUUAUUAUUACCAGUAAAUUGAUAUAUGCAUUUAUACAUUAUGAAGCAAUAGGAACUAAUAUACCAAUAGCUUGAAUUUUAACUGCUUUGAUUCUCGGAUUUUUCUUUUUUGUAGAGAACGCGCUGCCUCUUGAGUAAAAAAGGGGGCAGAGCAUAUAAAUAAGGGAAGAAGCAUGACGCCAAAACUGUGUGUUGGAAAGUAAAAUCAGCUGAAAUGAGCCCUUUUUAAACCUCUUACCAGGUUCACUGUGGUCCCUUGGCCCUGCAUUGUAUGAGCAUGGUGGGUGGCAAGAUGGGUUUCUUGUACAAAUAGAAAGGGUGCAGAGUUUCAGAGUCCAGAAAAGUCAAUAGGGAAAGCCCAAAUUCAGAAAUGGGGUGGGUAGUGGGGGGUCUAAGAGGACUUCUUGGUAAUUCUUCAGGUAGUAGAUAGAACUGUGUAGGAGCAAAUACAUGGAGUAAAUGAAAUCAGCAGGCAGUCUGCACUCUUCUGGCAUUGAAUUGUUUCAAGGACAGGUCUGCUUUUCAGGUAUCUUUCAGCACCUUGGCAGCUAUACAAAGAUGAACUGGUUUCAAGCCAGCAAUAAUGAGGUACCUAACAGAAAUCUAUACAUUGGAAAAUAAUGCUAUAUGCACUCAACUCAAAUUGAAGCUUACUAAAUCAGAGGGGCAGCAUUUUCCUUUUACCUCAUCUCUGUGUUUUGCUCCAGUUGAACAAAAGAAAUACUGAGCAUUGAAAAUUGGGUGCCUUUCAUGGAAAAUAUGUUAGUUACGUAAAAAACGUUGGACAAGCUUAGACCUUGUUGUAUAUCCUGGAUUGGAAAUUCAUUUUUGUUCACUUGAACCUUAGAUUUGAAAUCCCUUUAAAUUGCAUUCUGGAUGCACUCAUUUCUGAAGGAAAACUAUAGCUAAUAUGAACAUUUCUUCAUGGUAUCAUUUACCUUUUUCUUGCCUAUGAAACUAUGUUAAUCAAUACCUCUUUCUUUUCCUGAGCAUAUGUUUUGAACUUGUUGCGGAGGCCAUAUGUAUACUGCCAUUAUCAGCAAUGAGUAGCUGCCAAAUGUAUUUAUAAAGAGUUUUGAAUAGAUUUGUGGUAUUGACUUAAGCUUGGCUGCCCCUCUGAUUUCAUGUUGACAGGCUACACAAAAUACAUUUAAAUUAUCUCUAAAUUCCUCCUCCUCUUGUUGGCUGUAUGUGUUUGCUGAUUGCACCUAGUUGAGGGUGGAAUUUAGGUUUGUGCUACUUAACAUCCUCUCACUUAAUAGAAUCAGAUUAUCUGUAGAGUGUUUGAAAAUGUGCAAAGAACAAACUGAAAAUAAGAGUAGCAAAGCCUCGAUACUGGGGGAAAACACAGGAAAUUUUGCCUCGAUUACAGAAAUAGCACUUAUUGGUGUAUUGCAUCUGAACAACGGGAGAGAGAUGAGGAAGGUGUAUGUCGCACAUAUUAUAGUCCACUGCACAAAUUGUGUAACAGAACAAAUAAUCUUACCCUCUGUAUAUAUCUAUAUCUGAAGUUUUCCAGAAGGCAGCUUGCUUUUUGUAUCUAUGCAUCUUUGGGGGAGGGAAAGAGGGGUGAAAUUGAUUCUUUUGCGAUUGUAAAACAAUUAUUCGACAAUGAACUUGGAAACUCUGCUCCUGUAUACGAUUUUUUUAGCAAUAAAGCAGCAUGGGCUGAGAAUGCACUAAAA